CCAUACAUGCCUAAGCCGAAGAGAACCAUCGGCUCCGUCGCAGCAGGCAAUGAAGCGACCGCACGACCCCGGCUGCGUCCUUCUCCCUCGAGCCUCGCACUGGAGAGGCUUAUUCCUCUGGUGUUCAAAUAAUACUAACUGGAAAAGGCCAGUGUCAAACUGGAACGCACAACCAAGACGAUGGAUUGCCCUAUUGCUUCUAAAGGGACAUGUCCCAUGAAAGGUCAUGGACGGCACUUCGAAUGGAAGAGAAUGUCGUAAGCCUAGUGAAGUCUUGAAUGAAGUUAAUGCCAAGAGGUCCAGAAACUCUACAAGAUGCUUGGAUGACCUGAUGUGAAAGGGUGAAGGUCGGCAAGACCGCCUGAUAACUCCCUCGGCGGCACCAUAGAGGAUUUGAUACAGGGCAGUUGAACACUUUAAGGUUGGUAUCUUGCAGUGUGCUGGUGAUUUUCCUUCAGUUCCAAUUGAAAUGUUCCAGAGCUUGGCACAUGGUGUACAAGGACCAUAGGUAUUGCUGUAAGCCUGCUGCUACUCCCACCUAUACCAUUCAAAGAGGUGGCUAAACUCCUAAAUGCCUUGGCUGAAAUACAUGCAAGACAUCCAAGGCAAG
rnacentral:lncRNA from 1 species